rnacentral:lncRNA from 1 species
GUAUUUUGCCCAUAUAUACCUGCAAUAAUUACUACAGAAUGUAACUACCACAUGGGAGACUGUUUUUAUGGGAAAAUUCACUCAAGAAAUUCUGAGAUAAUAACAUCUGUGACCUCCUAGGGACAAGUCUUUCCUGGUAUAAUGAUAGAAGGGUCUUCUUUUUGGUCACUUUCCACAACAUGUGUCAGGCCAGCCCUCUAAAGUGAAGAGCAGGAUCUAAGAUUAACCCUGAGGUGUGGAUAUGGGAAGAGUGAAGAACAGAGUAGGGGAUAUAUAAAACAGUGGAAGAUUGGGGAGAACAAGCUUAUGGGGUGGGGAGGGGGGGCACAGAAGUGGAGACUAUGGACCACCAGUAAACAGUGAGUACCUGAAGCAUAACAGAAGUAAGAACCAAGAAAUUGGGGAAAGAGGAGGAAAUUAGGAAACUAGAAGGCAAAGGGUUAGCUUGGUCUCAUUUUCCUUCCCUGCAGUACUAACAAACAUCCUGCCCAACUAUGAAAGCCGCCUCAAAAUCAUAAUACUUGAAUAACAGGGGCAUCACCGGAUGUAGGAUCGAUAGUCUGAAGGUCAAAGGACAAGCCCCAGUUCUCCCAUUUACCAGCUGUGUGGCCUUGGCUGAGUUACUCCAACUCUCUGAGCUCUGGCUCUCUACCUAAAAAGUGGGUGACACUAAUGGCCCCAGACUUAGAUGGUUAUUUUGAGGAAUAAAUGAAGCUAUGUGUGUGGAAUACAGAAUGUAAGCUCCACACAGGUAGAGAGUUUGUCUUGUUCACUGCUGGAUUCCCAGUGCUUUAGGCAGUUCCUAGUACUCUUCAAGGGGUAAACAAAGGAUUAAUGAAUAAAUAGGAAAAGAUUUGUAAGUGGGGUGGCAUUUUAAAAUGCCUAAUCCAUGGGUUGUCUGCCGCUAAUUAAGCUACUCUAAUGGUUACAAGAAAUGAAGAUUAUAGAAGAGUGAAGUUGUCUGAACUCGAGUCCCAACGCUGGCACUCACCAUUUUUGUAACCACAGGCAAAUUUUGGCCUCAGUUUCUUUUUCCAUGAAAUUUGUGUAAUUCUAAGUACUCACUCAUGGGAUUACUAUGAAGAUAAGACAAGAUGCAAAGCAAUUUGUGCCUGGCACACAGUAAAUGCUCAGUAAACAUUAGGUGCAAUGACGAUGGUGAUAACUUUGCUACUGAGGGCAGUUCUCAGCACUCCAGGAAGAUUUUAAGCUACCCAGAGACAAAAUCAUCCUCUGCUGUUGCCAAAGCUGGAGCAUGAAGCGGUGCUCUUUGUGAAUCUUCUCUAGCCAUCUUAGAAGGGUGUGUGUGGCCCCAAGUCUGGCAGGGACAGAGCUGAGCAGAGCUGUUCACAGCAAAUCUGUGAUGAUGAUCUUCUCAUCUGUCUUCUAAGCUGUGGGCGGCUCCUUCUUUGGGAAGCAAGUUAUAAUCAGAACUUGGAACAAGCUACCUUCCAAACAAUGCUCUCAUUGCCUUUUCUGCCAUUUAAUUAAUGCCAGUCUAAUUUUAUAGAAAGUAUCUAAAUAUGACUUAUGCAUAUUUGUACCUAUAUUUUUCUGUAAGUCCUGCCAUGAGGUAUAUAUCCAUUUAAAUCCUAUCCUUCUGAUAAAUAUCUCUGGCCUGAAUACUUAACAUUAUUUUUUAGAAUCGCAUUUUAGGGAACUUAGCAAGUAGAGGGAUGGAUAUUGCUCAAGCCAACCCGCAAGUUAUCACUGACCAGGACCAAAAGGUGAACCUCUUAUUUCUUCCAGAUUGUAUUUGGCUGUGGGGAUUUAGGUAAAUUUCAGCUGAUGGUACUCAAGAUCCCCUUUGCUCAUGCUUUCCUUCCAGUUUUUGUCAAUCUAACUCAAGAAACAGCAGUCCAUGGGCUGCCACUGGAAGGUUAUGAGGAUAAUGAUCCAUGCAUUCUGUUUUUAACUUUCUUUUUAGUACGUAUACAUUUAACUCAGGCCAUGAUUUAAAUACAUUCAAAUCCUGAAAGAGUUGCACCAUCACCCUUGCAGGUUUAGCUCAGAUCAACUGGGUGUAGUGGAGUGACUUUGCUGAGCUUUUCUCUGACUAAAUUUGCACUGUGUCUGUAAGUAAGCAUGUGCACCAGCAAGCUGAUUUUAUUAGAACUUUGAAGACCUAGUAGAAAAGCUCCUUCUUUUUACCAAACAUGGAUUUAAAAAAUUACACAGAAAUCAGCAUUGUCAAGUCACAUGAAGUGCAAUUAUAAGCAGAAGGCUUGAAACCUGUUUUUGCUUAAAGCAUUUAUUUGAUUUAGCAAAAACAACAGCAAUAAAUUGUAUUCGAAAGCACUUUUGAUCCCUUGCAACAGUAUUAUUACGAAGAACAGGGUCUAUAUAGUAUCCUCCCUUUUUCGUUUGGGUCCGUUUUCCAAAGCAUCCAAAUCUGUGUUUACAAUUCUGGAGACAAAGGAUUAUUCAGACUCUAGUUAGUGCCCAGUACUUGGAAAUUGGUAUUAUGAGACAAUUAUUAUUACACUGACUUUACAUUUUUAUUUUCUUGAAAUCUUCCCAGAGAUUCCAGAGCAGAAUCCUAGAGAUUAAAACGCAAAAAUACAUCAAUAAAAUUUUUAACACAAACAUUACUGAAAUGUUCUGUCUCCCUCCUGAAAUUUUUGGGUUUAUUUCAUCUUUUCCCCUUAUUCUUCUUUUCCACAAUAAUCCUUUUAACAUUUUGAGACCCUAGGUGGUCGGUGCCUAUAAUCAAUAAAUGAUAAUAACAGGACAGUAAGUUGAGGACUACAUCUUUGGCUCCAAGUUCACCAUACGAAUAAUUCUUGAAUGGCUAUAAUUCUGUUUGAUUUUUUUUUUUCUGAUGUAGUCCUGUCAUGUAAGACCUAUGCUGCAUUGAUUCUUUCCUCUUCCUUUUGCUAAAUUAUCACUCCACAAAUAGAUGACUUUUAACAUUGCUCCAAUCCUUUGUUUAACUAACAUAAAAUCAUUAUUUAGGGUCUACGUGAUGGAGGGUACAUGCCAGUUACAAAACUGUCAUUUUGCUUUUGUUUUGUUUUGUUUUGUUUUCCAACAACCUUAUCAGGAAGUCAAGGCAAAUGGCGGAGUCUCUGUUUUAAAUGAUGACUCUGAAAUGUGGACAGGUUAAGUGGUUUGUUCAUGGUUACCUAGUCAGUGACACGGCAGCAGAGGGAUUCAGGUCUCCUGAAUCUACACGGGUACAAGAUUCUCUUUAUUACCCUGCACAAAAUGGUAAUUGUCAGAUUAGACAAACUCUAAGUAGAAGGUUGGCCAAUUUUGUGACGAGAUGGCUAUAGUAGCAAAGGAUACUUGUCCCCUUAAGUUUAUUAUGGCAGGGCUGGACAGCUAGCUCCCUGGACACUCUCUGGAAUUAGUCUUAAGGUGUGAUGGUGAUUUCAGGCAUGCUAGAAUUUAGCAUCAGAGACCUGGGGAGGUCCAGGUAGUGGACUGGAAUAGCUGCAGCUAUUAAAUAUCUAGGUCAUCUUUUAUAGAGGGUUGUAAUAUAUACUCUAGCUUCUGAUUUCAGUGCUGCCAGGAAGGAAAAAAAAAUCCAUCUUGCUAAAAUGUAGUCAGACAGCAGUUUGUCUUUCCAAAACAUUAUUAGGUAUUAUUACAGAAUGUGAACACCUUUCAUUCCUGACAAACAGGAAAUGUAUGCUGCACUACUGGUCUGUCAAUCAGAGUGAUAGCAUCAAUUUUAUGGUUUUUAAUUCAUCCCCACCUCCUGCCGAGCCUUUUGCUCAUCCAAAAUUAUGAAUCUUAAAAGGUACGUGAUUAAGAAGAAAAAAAAAAUAUGUCUCUGCCUGUGUGAACUCCCUUGUGAAGAGCUUGGAGGCAGAUAUUUAAGAGAUUUGUAAAGCGUGCCCUGACCGCGCAAUGAUUUGGACGAGUGACUUACAUUUCCUGCAGCUGGGAGUGCCCCCUCAUGCUUUUGCUCUAGUAUUUUGCUAGCAGCUCAAGCAAAGAUUUUUUUUUAUAUGCAUUGACACCUUUACAUUUGUUAAGGAGCAGAGAGAAAAUAAAUAACGUAUUAAAUGCUGUAUUUGUCAGUUCAUGAUGCUUCAGUUACAUUUUCAAUUUAAGUUUUCAGAGUCUGGUUCUUUAGCUGUGGUCUUUUGUUGCUUUUGAUAUAUGUGAAAUAAUAAAUACAAAGCCAAUUCUGGAGCUUAGCUUUGAAUGCAUCAGAGCAAUUUUUCUUACAGUUCUUUUCUUUCCACCCCUUAACUCUUUUCUUCAGCAUGUAAUGAACAUGAAGAGCAUUGCUAGUGUCAGGAGGAAGUGAGGCUGUUUAUAAAUAAAUAAAUAAAUAAAUAAAUAAAUAAA